ACGGAAGGCAGCAGUGGGGAAUAUUGGGCAAUGGGGGAAACCCUGACCCAGCAACGCCGCGUGAAGGAAGAAGGCCUUCGGGUUGUAAACUUCUUUUGCCAGGGACGAUAAUGACGGUACCUGGAGAAAAAGCAACGGCUAACUACGUGCCAGCAGCCGCGGUAAUACGUAGGUUGCAAGCGUUGUCCGGAUUUACUGGGUGUAAAGGGCGUGUAGGCGGAGCUGCAAGUCAGAUGUGAAAUCCCGGGGCUCAACCCCGGAACUGCAUUUGAAACUGUAGCCCUUGAGUAUCGGAGAGGCAAGCGGAAUUCCUAGUGUAGCGGUGAAACGCGUAGAUAUUAGGAGGAACACCAGUGGCGAAGGCGGCUUGCUGGACGACAACUGACGCUGAGGCGCGAAAGCGUGGGGAGCAAACAGGAUUAGAUACCCUGGUA
rnacentral:rRNA from 1 species